UGUCAACAUGAAUUUGGGGGGACACA
rnacentral:piRNA from 1 species